GAUAAAAAUCGUCGUGCGUCACAGUUGUUUCAACCCUCUGGGCAUUCAAAGUGGAGAUUUUUCCGCAACGUUCAUUAACACCCCUGCAUUGAAUGUUUGUAGACAUGAUGAAAUGUCAAAACCCAUCAUUCCCACAAGCAACAGAACUGACUCGUUCGCCCAUAUAGAAAAAAAUGAGUAGCCAUUUUUCUAGUUUAUUGUUUACCAAAUUGCUAUUCAUUGCCUAAAACCGUCUCCGGAAUGAUAAGGACUACCCGAAAAAUGACCAUCAUCGUUGGAAUGCAGCUACGAAAUCCUACAAGACCAUCGCCUUCAUCUCGUUGCCUGAAGCUGCUGUGGUGCUCCGUCAAAAACGCGGAAAUGUGUAUGCUGGCGCAAUGAAACUUAUGGCUCCGUUCAAGAACCUGUUAAUAUAGCUGGCCAUCAACAGCACCAACAAUGAGGUUUCCAGGAUGGAUGUGGGGAUUUCAGCCACUGUGGAAGUGGCAUAAUAGGAGGAGAUAGAUAUAACCUCCAAACUUCAAAUAAAAAUAAUGUCAACAAU